rnacentral:rRNA from 1 species
UACGUAGGUGGCAAGCGUUAUACGGAUUUAUUGGGCGUAAAGGGAGCGCAGGCGGUCUUUUAAGUCUGAUGUGAAAGCCUUCGGCUUAACCGGAGUAGUGCAUUGGAAACUGGGAGACUUGAGUGCAGAAGAGGAGAGUGGAACUCCAUGUGUAGCGGUGAAAUGCGUAGAUAUAUGGAAGAACACCAGUGGCGAAAGCGGCUCUCUGGUCUGUAACUGACGCUGAGGUUCGAAAGCGUGGGUAGCAAACAGG